rnacentral:rRNA from 1 species
UAAAGCCAAAGGUUCCCUAAGCCGUCCCACGCACUCCGGGAAUACGAAGCCCAGAUACGAAAGUAGCUUUACCUCCUACCAUUCUGACCCCACGAAAGCUAAGAAACAAACUGGGAUUAGAUACCCCACUAUGCUUAGCCUUAAACUCAGAUGAAUUAUUACAAAACCAUCCGCCAGGGUACUACGAGCGCUAGCUUAAAACCCAAAGGACUUGACGGUGUUUCAGACCCAUCUAGAGGAGCCUGUUCUAGAACCGAUAAUCCCCGUUAAACCUCACCACCUCUUGCUUUUCCCGCCUAUAUACCGCCGUCGUAAGCUUACCCUGUGAAGGCCUAUAAGUGAGCAAAAUGGGCACAGCCCCAAACGUCAGGUCGAGGUGUAGCUCACGAGGUGGGAACAAACAGGCUACAUUUUCUGUAACAGAAUAUACGAACGGCAUUAUGAAACUAGUGCCUAAAGGUGGAUUUAGAAGUAAGGAAGAAAUAGAGAGUCUUUUUGAAUUAGGCUCUGAAACGCGCACACACCGCCCGUCACCC